AGAGCGAUAGUACUAUCCGCAAAAGAAGCAAAAAUGAUUCUCCCGGAUCAACAGCAGGCGCAUCACUCCACCUGGCGACAGAUCAGACUGCUUUCCAGGAACCCACAAAUGAAGCCACAAAAGCGCCCAAUCUGAAACCUCCUCCUGCACACAAAAACAAAUAACAAAGGCACCUAAAGCACUGAACAGAAACUAACUUUGGACCAUUGCUUAUCUUUUGCCAGUGAAAGUAACCUGAUGCUCCCUUUUGUUUACAGCAACUUGCUUUUGCAGCUCUAUUAGGCAACCUGUUAACUUGCCAACCAAUACUAGAUACACUAUCAGUGCCCUUCAUGUACCAUUAUAUGUACAUAUAAAUCCUAUUAGGAUAGCAAAAAUGCGGAAGAAGCUAACCAUAGCAAACCGCUAUCACUAUGUCUUCCUGGAACUAGAUACUAUGGACAAAAUAGCAUUAGCCUCUUCUAAUGAUGGCCAUGUAUAAUACACCAGUCUAUAUUCAAGCAUCCACCGACAUCUGCACACUAAAACAGCUUUUAUGCUUUUAAACAAC